rnacentral:rRNA from 1 species
GAUGAACGCUGGCGGCGUGCCUAAUACAUGCAAGUCGAGCGAACGGACGAGAAGCUUGCUUUUCUGAUGUUAGCGGCGGACGGGUGAGUAACACGUGGAUAACCUACCUAUAAGACUGGGAUAACUUCGGGAAACCGGAGCUAAUACCGGAUAAUAUUUUGAACCGCAUGGUUCAUAAGUGAAAGACGGUCUUGCUGUCACUUAUAGAUGGAUCCGCGCUGCAUUAGCUAGUUGGUAAGGUAACGGCUUACCAAGGCAACGAUGCAUAGCCGACCUGAGAGGGUGAUCGGCCACACUGGAACUGAGACACGGUCCAGACUCCUACGGGAGGCAGCAGUAGUGAAUCUUCCGCAAUGGGCGAAAGCCUGACGGAGCAACGCCGCGUGAGUGAUGAAGGUCUUCGGAUCGUAAAACUCUGUUAUUAGGGAAGAACAUAUGUGUAAGUAACUGUGCACAUCUUGACGGUACCUAAUCAGAAAGCCACGGCUAACUACGUG